CCUACGGGAGGCAGCAGUAGGGAAUCUUCCGCAAUGGACGCAAGUCUGACGGAGCAACGCCGUGUGAGUGACGAAGGUUUUCGGAUCGUAAAACUCUGUUGUGAGGGAAGAACACGUACCAACUAACUAUUGGUACCUUGACGGUACCUCACCAGAAAGCCACGGCUAACUUCGUGCCAGCAGCCGCGGUAAU
rnacentral:rRNA from 1 species